AUGGGGGGGGGGGGGUGCCUAAUUUCCCCCAUCACCCCCCACCCCACUAUCUCACACCCAGUGCAAGAGACCCCGGGAUGCCCCCGCACAAAAAAGCACACGAGACACUGCACAGAUCAUGAGAAAAACGAAAGAAAUGCCAAGGCAGUUUAUUUACAACUGUUGUGUACAAAAAAAGGACAGCUCGUGCCACAACUAGAACAGCCCCCUCGCUCUUUGCCCAUCACCUUCUUCCGUGCUCCCCUUCCCGGCAGCCCCUCRUGCCCUGGGUGCUGCUCCCCACCUUGGACUCCUGGGCCUGGGAGAGCGUUUUGCAGCACAACGAACAAGAGAUGCUCUUUUUCUCCAGACCUGCCCAUGCUAAAUCAGUGCUUUGAAAGCCUUAUCUGGCAGUAGUGGAGACUGAGACCUCAGCUGACAUCAGAGUUAGAGACUGAUGAUGUGCCAGAGCCUAGCAGGACUGGGACCACUGCUUGCUAUCAAACGGGAGCAGAGGGGGUGUUCUUCCACCGCCCUGGCAGAAAGCAGACUUUCCACCUCUCCCGGCUAGGAGGGAUCCCACAGCAACCUCUCUGCUUUGCUCACCCUUAACCCAGCCUCCCUGGACACAAAGAUCACCCUGGGAUCACCCCAUCUGCUCAGCAGGACCCACAAAAGACCUCCUGGGCCAUUCACAACUCAGGACUACCGUUUGGUGGUGUCCCAGGCUGGGUUUCUUCUUGGCCUGGAGUCAUCAGGAGGUGCGAUCACCAUCCCCAGGGACUCCCAYACCCACCUCUCCCUUGCUCCCAGUCCUACUUUUGCUAUGGAUAUUGCCUUCUUGCACUGUCCAGAGAGGUGUCUCCACACCACCUCCUGGCUCUCCAGUCUGGGCUCCCUCAGCUGCUCUCUUCCUUUUGCUUUACCCCACUCCUUUCACUGCAGUUUCCAUAGCCCUGCUCUAUUUUUCUCUCCUGCUCUAGCUCCCCAUGGGGGUGAUUUCUCUCUUCAGAUAAUCAUCUGAGCCUCUGAAAGCAUAAGGCUUUUCAGCUGCUCUAGAGCAGAAAAGGGGAUUUCAUCCAAGAGUUCCCGGGAAGAKGUCUCAGGAGGUUUCUUACAAAAAGCAGCCCUUUGGGAAAUCACGGGGCUUUUUGACUUCACCCUUUCAAAAGGAUCCUCGGCAUCUCCUACAACUGGAUAAAGCCUUUGGAGCAAGUGAUUCUCGCUCUCCGACCACCUUAUUCCCAACCCCUUCCCCAAAACGGUGCUGCAAGGUCUGCGAGCAACUAAUGCCUGCUCUGGGCAAGAGGCAGGAGAAAAGGAGAGAGGGACACCGAGAGAUGCUGCUGCACAUCGACGGCCAGACAUCCACCGGGGGUGGGAAGGAAGAGGAGAAAGAAACAAAGCUCGAGGGCCA
rnacentral:lncRNA from 1 species